UGGGAAUAGAUAAGCGCUGAAAGCAUCUAAGUGCGAAACUAGCCACGAGAUGAGAAUUCCAUAUAGGGCCGUAGAAGACUACUACGUUGAUAGGCUAUAGGUGUAAAGCUGGUAACAGCAAAGCCGAGUAGUACUAAUAACCCGAAGCUUUCAAA
rnacentral:rRNA from 1 species